rnacentral:rRNA from 1 species
UAACAGGAUUAGAUACCCUGGUAGUCCACGCCCUAAACGAUGGAUACUAGGCGUAGGAGGUAUCGACCCCUCCUGUGCCGCAGCUAACGCACUAAGUAUCCCGCCUGGGGAGUACGGCCGCAAGGUUGAAACUCAAAUGAAUUGACGGGGACCCGCACAAGCGGUGGAGCAUGUGGAUUAAUUCGAUACUAACCGAAGAACCUUACCCAGACUUGACAUCGAUUGUAAGCUCUAGAAAUAGGGCCCUCCCUCACAAGGGGACAUGAAGACACUUGUUGCAUGGCUGUCGUCAGCUCGUGCCGUGAGGUGUACGGUUAAGUCCGCCAACGAGCGCAACCCACGUCCUGUGUUACCAGCGAGAGAGUCGGGCACUCACAGGAGACCGCCGGUGUAAGCCGGAGGAAGGUGUGGAUGACGUCAAGUCAGCAUGGCAGUUACGUCUGGGGCUUCACACAUGCUACAAUGGGCGCAACAAAGGGCCGCGAUACCGUGAGGUGGAGCCAAUCCCAAAAAUACGCCCCCAGUUCAGAUUGUAGUCUGCAACUCGACUACAUGAAGGCGGAAUCGCUAGUAAACGCAGGUCAGCUAUACUGCGUUGAAUACGUUCCCGGGUCUUGUACACACCGCCCGUCAAGUCACUUGAAUCGUUUUCACCCGAAGUCCGUGGCCCAACCGCAAGGAGGGAGCGGCCGAAGGUGAGGGGGGUAAGAGGGACUAAGUCGUAACAA